CAGGUAACAAACCUGAAAGGUUGACGAGGCUGGCAGUGCCGGCACCGGGCGGCGGCGGCGGCGGACCUAACCUCAGUCAAAGCUGUCAUUAAUGGCUCGUCUACCAGAGACGGUCACACCACCAGCGGUUAUUGGUGCCAGCAUGGUGACAGCAGCGUGGUGACAGCGUGGUGCCAGUGUGACCAGUUCCGACGCCAGAUUGAAACUGCUUUCCAACGCGCACGGAAAAAAACGUCCAAGACAAUUCUGUUGCUAUCAACAAUAAUGUAACAGGUCACGAAUGCACAUCAUUUUUGUUAACGAUAGCUAAAAUGUAAAAAUUAGAACCAAACGUCAGGAAUAAACAUGUAAACAAACACUUA